rnacentral:tRNA from 1 species
ACCCCAUUAGCAUAAUGGACAAUGCCCAGACCUUCUAAGUCUGUAAUACUGGUUCGAUUCCAGUAUGGGGUG